UACAGAGGGUGCAAGCGUUAAUCGGAAUUACUGGGCGUAAAGGGUGCGUAGGUGGUUUUUUAAGUCAGAUGUGAAAUCCCUGGGCUCAACCUAGGAAUUGCAUUUGAUACUGAAUAACUUGAGUAUGGUAGAGGGAAGUGGAAUUUCCAGUGUAGCGGUGAAAUGCGUAGAUAUUGGAAGGAACAUCAGUGGCGAAGGCGACUUCCUGGACCAUUACUGACACUGAGGCACGAAAGCGUGGGGAGCGAACAGG
rnacentral:rRNA from 1 species